GCCGGCAGCUAGCUCUCUGCAACUCUCACAUGGUCGCCCACUGAAGCUAAGCAGGGCUGCGCCCGGUCAGUACCUGGAUGGGAGACCACUUGGGAAAGCUAGGUUGCUGCUGGAA
rnacentral:rRNA from 1 species